rnacentral:lncRNA from 1 species
CGGGUGGUGAUAUAUAUAUGACAUCGGCAAUACGCACUAUUGCGUAACAUGCGUCGAAUCUGUGUACAUCCAUGAUCACCUGCUGGGUGCACAGGUGAGGUUGGAAAAUAUACUCUAGAGCAAUGGUUACAGAUAUAAGUUACGUAAUGCAUAUCUGUUUAACCUGUUUGAAUAAACAAUGGUCAAUACCUUACUGUCGGAUAUGGGGUUUACAGAAUAGAGAAAAGAGGACUGACAGUGCAGCUUAAAAAAGGGGGCGGAUACAAAAUAAUGUGUUUCUGAAUUAAAU